rnacentral:miRNA from 1 species
UUCUCAAGGAGGUGUCGUUUAU